ACCUUCUCCUUGGACCAUAGCAGCCUGGGCUUGCUUCUUCUUGCUUCAGCGAGACAUGCUUCUGAUGCUGCCAGCUUAGUGUCCUGUCUGCCUGCUCAUGUAGGACAACGUACUUCAGGCCUGGAUGCAAGCACGGAGAAGUGGCGUGGUCUCUCUCCAUCCCCACCUUCAGUGAGAGCUCGUAACCCGCCUGCAGAGGGUGCUUCUGUGGGAAGGCUGCUUGAAUUUGGAGAGAGACCUCUGGGAAUGCACCCAGUCUCUUCCUCCUGCCUUCCUCUCUUUCAAGUCUUCAAGGAGAAGUUAUCCUUUAUUUUCCAUACCUCAUUAUUUGGAGGCACCUGGGUCAAAGAAGUGUGAUUUACAUCUUGUUCUGACACCUUUUCCAGGCUGCCCAUUUGUAUGCAGCAUGCAGCCCUACCUUUGCUGGAUAGAUCACACACAGUUUGGAGCAGCAAGUGUCUUGACUGCCCUCAGUGCAUUGCACAUUUGCAGUUCACUUGCUGAUAACUCUGAGUUUUUAUGCUAUAUGCUUUGUCUAACACAGCUAAUGCUUGACAGGGCUACACUUCUCUGCCUGUACAGCUCUCUGUCUCAGUACCUGUAGGGAGCUGACAACCAUCCCAACCUGGUGCUGAGAAUAUUAAGAUAAGGAAAAAAAUCAGUUGUGAUAGAUUUUUAAGGGAAUGUCCUCUUGCCUUCAGCUUCACAUUACUAAGUACUGUUAGUGAAUGUAAUGAACAUAUGGAGAGAGAUACGCAUAUCAACCUAGCCUUGUGUUUAUGUAGUGUCUGUUUGUACACAUAUAUGAAAUACCAAACGAAUGUCAUCUUAUUUGAUAGAAUGAGUGAUGUUAAUUUUACUAGAGCUACUCAAGAAAAGGACAUACAUCAGAACCUGACGCAGCCCUGAUAGAGAUUUUCUGGGCCUCUUUGUGGUGAGCCUGCCAAGCGCUCAUUCCCCAGGCACAUGGCAAUUUUCUAUAUAAAGAACAGUUUUAAAAAUAACUUAUAUACCCCUUACGUUCAGAUUAUUUUAUUUUUUAUUUUUUCCUGCUAUGGAAAACUCAGCAUUGUGAUGACAUGUAAUCCCAUGGGGGAAAGAGUAUUCACCCUGCUUUACAACUUCAGUGCGCACAGUCUGGAUAAUAAUUUGGGAUUACAUUCUUCUGAAAUGCUUGAAAUAAGAAAUGAAAACUCGAACCAACCUUCCUGGGACUACAAUCAAUGUGUGUUACUUUUGCUUUCAGGACUUGUGGGCAGGCACUAUACUUGGAGGCAGACUUAGAGCCAGGCUAAUAUUUCCUGUGUUCUGUGUUUUAAAUUAAGAUGCUGUUAGGAUUGUUCAAUAUUGUAUUAAAUGCAACAUGUCCUACUGAGAAGGCCACUCUUGCCCACCGGCUACUAAAUGAAAUUCUAUAAAGAGGAAGCAGGGACAAAAAUGCAGCUCUUUUUUCAUUCUUAAUAGUAAUGACUAGUAACUUCUGAAGUGUUAUAAAAAGCAUAAACAAGCACACAAUACUCACAUAUAUGUAUUAUACCUACAUGUCCAGAAAUGAGGGCUAGGAAUUCCUCUGUCCUGAUACAGAGCUUUGCUCUGCAGAGGUCUGCAUCCCACUGGCUAAGGCUCUCAUGAUUGUUGAUGCGUAGAAAUGGGCACUUGAGAGGCACAAUAAAACUCAAGCAAAAGCAGAAGGCUUCCGUAGGUCACAUGGACCAUAAUACUGAAGUGCCCAUAACUCUCUUUUCUGGGGAAGGAGGAAAGCCAACUGAUUUACUAGCUUAGUUGUAGACAUUUUCAGUUAGAUUAGAUGAAUUGCAUCAUAGAGUUUUGGAAGAAUGAUAACAGUGACCAGCCUUUUCCAGUGUAAUAGAUGAGCUUCACUCCCUGUGGCAUUCAGAGAUUUUUUUUUUUUAUGGUGAACUUAAAUGAGAGAAGAUUGAUAAGCUGAGCUGCAUUUAUUCAGUAUCCUUCAGGGAAAGAAAUGUAAUUUGAGUGCUCAGUAAAUCAGACUUGUCUGCAUACAUUUAGGAAAAACGAGUAGGAUUCAUUUUCCAAAUAUUUCUGCUUAAUGCCAUUUUGGACAAUGUACAUGGUCCACAAAGGUUUCUUUAUAAGGCAUCGUUCUUCCAAGUCUCCAGUGUCACUGCCCACUACUCUUGCAGUCUCCUCAGUCUAUAGUGGUACUUGGUGCAAUAUUUAGUCAACUGAAUCUCAACCAGUAAUUACAAAGAAAAGGCUGGUGCUAAAGACACGUGGUGUUUGUUGGAGUAAGUGUCCUAGUCCCCCUGGUGCAAUGAGCCUGCGUCUGACCAUGCACUGCAGCAUCUGUGACUGAAGGAAAUGACCAAGACAAAGUGGCCAGUUGUUAGAGCAGGAUGAUGAUAUGCUGAGAGAGAUACCGUGCUGUUUUGUGGAUGGGAAUAAAUCACGACUCAGGCAGUUCACCCUCAGCUCACGUUGGUCAAUCUCCCUAGCGCUUAUGAAAAUAUUCUGCAGCCAAUUUUAUGCUGUGACGAGAUGCUGAAUGGAUUAAAAUAUAAUCUGAUCUGCCAGAAACAAAUGAUUGGGAUAGCUGCACUGCAAAACUUCACUCUGAGUCUAUGCAUGCUACAUACAUUACAGAAGAACCACUUUAGAAAUGGUUUGCUAAAUAUGGCAAAUGCGAGUGCUGUAGAUUUGAAAUGGCAGUACUCAGUGAUGUCUGUUGCUG